GUGAGUGUGAGAUUGAGAGAGAGGAUGAGAGGGGAAGUAACAAAAGUGAAAACAAAAAUUUGAAAGUGAAAACAAUUUCAAAUAUAGAUUUCAGUUUUUUAAUUUUUUUUUCCAGUUUUGUUACUUCUCCCUCCCAUCCUCCCCUCUCAUCUUCCCUCUAAAU
rnacentral:miRNA from 1 species